rnacentral:rRNA from 1 species
UACGUAGGUGGCAAGCGUUAUCCGGAUUUAUUGGGCGUAAAGGGAACGCAGGCGGUCUUUUAAGUCUGAUGUGAAAGCCUUCGGCUUAACCGGAGUAGUGCAUUGGAAACUGGGAGACUUGAGUGCAGAAGAGGAGAGUGGAACUCCAUGUGUAGCGGUGAAAUGCGUAGAUAUAUGGAGGAACACCAGUGGCGAAAGCGGCUCUCUGGUCUGUAACUGACGCUGAGGUUCGAAAGCGUGGGUAGCAAACAGG